AUUUCAAUUUCAUUUUUCUACGACUUCAAUCGUAAUCAUUACAAUGUAUGUAUUUAAGACUUAGGUCUAUGACAUAGAGUAAUUAUUACUCUAUGGUAUGUGACCGAACUACCGGUUUAUUAUAACGAGAUAAAAAAAAAUUCCAACAAGAAGCAAAGAUAACAGUUUUUCACCCGAUUAGGUAUCGUCGUACGGAUGCGGCCCACCGCCACGGGCGUGACGUGACUCAAUUUCGAACGACGCAUCACGGUGUAAACACGAGAUGAUGGUAUAUACGUAAUGGCAAACGUGUGAUUCGGCGGUACUGACCAUACAUCUCAAAAUUAUGUUGCACCGUCGCCAAAUGCGGCCGUCGUCUAUAUAGUGUUACUGCAGCCAGCGAUAAGUCAUGCGCCGCUCACAGCUAUACGGCCCUCCGCGAUGAACGCUUGGUCGUUCGUACGCGCUCUUGCAGACUUUUAGUACGAUUUUAUAUUACCUUCUGGUUGAAUGAAAACAGAACAAAUUGCUUCGCCGUAUUGAUUGCGCGCCGAACAUGUGUAUUCCCCUUCAUCUCCUGGACCGAUUUGAUUGAUCGUAAGAACAAC